UGUUUUGCAACUUCACAUGAAAUAGGCCUAUGACAUAUUUUGCAGGCCUAAAGGAAUCUUAGAAAUUACAUUUCCAAUGCAAUUAAGUUAUAUUCAGGGGACCUAGAAAAGGUGGGGACUGUUUUAAAGGUGUCUACCUUUAAAGAUGUCUAUAUAGGCCUAAAGGUGUCUAUAUAGGCCUAAAUUUUAUGGGGAAAUCCUGAUUUGUGUUCAUAGUACGGCCCCCGGAGGAUUUUAUGACCAUGGUAGGAAUUUGAAGUGGCCCCCGAAUGAAAAAGGUUCCCCACCCCUGCAUUAAACCUUUCUACUAGCCACAGCUUUGCUGUCAGUACAUUUUAUUAUGAUACUAUAAGCUCAGAAAUUAAGUUGAUCAAACAAUUCGAUCUGUGCUGUAGGCUAAACAUUUAAAUGAACCUACAGAAUAGGCUAUCAAAAUAGAAUCAUCUGAAUGAUCUUUCUUGGACAUACAUUUUGAAGUGACCCUUCGAAUUAAAAAGGUUCCUCAGCUGCUUUUGAGGAAAAACAUCAAUGUGCUUGGCCACUCUGGUUUUUAAAAGGUAUUCUGAACUAAAGCAAGGAUUGUUCAAGUUAGUUGAAAAUAGACCGUCUCUGGUUAAAUUAGUUCUACACCAAGCCUUUAGGUGGCAGUAAAACUAAUUGGCACAAUGCGAAUUCCACACACAAGCCACAAAGAAGCCAUCAGCCGCGGUCAACAACGCCUUCCUGAUUGAAGAGAAACACGAGGUGUGGUUUACAAGUUUCUUGGCGAUAUGGGUGAAAAGUUCCUCACAUACCAACGGAAAAUGGGCUUCAUAUACAUGCUGCUGUCUCAUAAUAUGGCGAAGACGAGUCACCUGAAGGCCUAACUCGCCAUAGAAGACUGAAAGAAUUGUCCUGCAGGAUGCUGUGUCCUGCAAUCCUGUGUGCUGUGCUACAGACGCGUGUGG